rnacentral:lncRNA from 1 species
UUAGAGCUUAGAGUCAAAGAGUAAAUGCAAGUUCAUAAAGAGGGAAUUAAGGAAAGCCAUGGAAGGCAGGUGGUUAUGCCUAGUAAUUGGGAGUGCUGGCACACCCCUAACCGGCCUGUUAGCCCAAUCGUAGGAGUUAGGAUCCAUUGUGGAUCAGGUUCAGACCUGGGCAAUAAUAUGGAUACUGCUAGGCCAUGAGCCUUAACUCACAUACAUAGAAGGGGUGAGGGUAUGAGAAAUUCACAACAAACAGCAGAUGCAAAGAGUAAGUAGUAUACUCCUUACAGAACAUGAACAUCAAAGCAGACAAGAGUGUAGCAACUAUAAUGUAAACACAUAGGGAAGAAGAUCAAAUAAAAAUUGAGACAUACCAGUUUCAGGGAAAAAAAUAAGUGAAAGCAGGAGUCUCGUAAGCCAAAUUGCAAGCAAACAGUACAAAAAGACCUUAGAAGAGAGUAGAGUAUUGAAAGAGUAUCGUAAAUGAGAGUGUGAGAAUAUUGAAUUUGAAGUGUUCAAUAAUAUAUGUACUGUGUAUAGAAGGGUCGUGCCCCUUUUAUAGUGCAGAAAAACAAGUAAGAAAGGUAAGGAAAUAUUCAUUGAAAU